rnacentral:rRNA from 1 species
UACGUAGGCAGCAAGCGUUGUUCGGAAUUACUGGGCGUAAAGAGUGUGUAGGCGGUGCUCUAAGUUCGGUGUGAAAUCUCCCGGCUUAACUGGGAGGGUGCGCCGGAAACUGGAGUGCUUGAGCGCGGGAGAGGAAAGCGGAAUUCCUGGUGUAGCGGUGAAAUGCGUAGAUAUCGGGAAGAACACCCGUGGCGAAGGCGGCACUCUGGGACGGUACUGACGCUGAGACGCGAAAGCGUGGGGAGCGAACAGG